CUCCUUUGACGUUAGCGGCGGACGGGUGAGUAACACGUGGGUAACCUACCUAUAAGACUGGNAUAACUUCGGGAAACCGGAGCUAAUACCGGAUAACAUUUGGAACCGCAUGGUUCUAAAGUGAAAGAUGGUUUUGCUAUCACUUAUAGAUGGACCCGCGCCGUAUUAGCUAGUUGGUAAGGUAACGGCUUACCAAGGCGACGAUACGUAGCCGACCUGAGAGGGUGAUCGGCCACACUGGAACUGAGACACGGUCCAGACUCCUACGGGAGGCAGCAGUAGGGAAUCUUCCGCAAUGGGCGAAAGCCUGACGGAGCAACGCCGCGUGAGUGAUGAAGGGUUUCGGNUCGUAAAACUCUGUUAUUAGGGAAGAACAAAUGUGUAAGUAACUNUGCACAUCUUGACGGUACCUAAUCAGAAAGCCACGGCUAACUACGUGCCAGCAGCCGCGGUAAUACGUAGGUGGCAAGCGUUAUCCGGAAUUAUUGGGCGUAAAGCGCGCGUAGGCGGUUUCUUAANUCUGAUGUGAAAGCCCACGGCUCNACCGUGGAGGGUCAUUGGAAACUGGGAAACUUGAGUGCANAAGAGGAAAGUGGAAUUCCAUGUGUAGCGGUGAAAUGCGCAGAGAUAUGGAGGAACACCAGUGGCGAAGGCGACUUUCUGGUCUGUAACUGACGCUGAUGUGCGAAAGCGUGGGGAUCAAACAGGAUUAGAUACCCUGGUAGUCC
rnacentral:rRNA from 1 species